GAUGAACGCUAGCGGCAGGCCUAAUACAUGCAAGUCGAACGGUGUCUUCGGACAUAGUGGCGCACGGGAGCGUAACACGUAUGCAACCUACCUUACAUUGGGGGAUAGCCUUUCGAAAGGGAGAUUAAUACCGCAUAAGACAGUAGCUGGGCAUCCAGCAGCUGUUAAAGAUUUAUCGAUGUAAGCUGGGCAUGCGUCCAAUUAGCUAGUUGGUGAGGUAACGGCUCACCAAGGCAAUGAUUGGUAGGGGAACUGAGAGGUCAAUCCCCCACACUGGCACGGGGAUACGGGCCAGACUCCUACGGGAGGCAGCAGUAGGGAAUAUUGGGCAAUGGACGCAAGUCUGACACAGCCAUGCCGCGUGCAGGAUGAAGGCGUUAUGCGUUGUAAACUGCUUUUAUACAGGAAGAAACGACUCUUGCGAGAGGCAUUGACGGUACUGUAUGAAUAAGCACCGGCUAACUCCGUGCCAGCCGCCGCGGUAAGAC
rnacentral:rRNA from 1 species